AACACUGUGGUUCAUCCAAGCAACUAUAAGGAAUUCAUUAUAAUUCAGGAAUAGAGCAGCAGGUUGGAGGAAGGGGAGAAAAGAGAUAUCAUUAAGAACUACUCUGUAAUCCAAGGUAGGGAGUUUGAACUUCAUGAAAAAGGCUCCAGAAGCCAGUGGAUGGGGUUAACAAGGGAUAUAAGGUUAUUUGCACUUUAAGAAGGUCAUUUUGGAAGAAGUUUGAAGAAUGGCCUGGAAAGGAGGAACCUGGGGGGCCAGACCAGAAAUUGGGAUACUAUAGUGUAAACCAGGCCUGUGGUUCUUAAACCUAAACAUGCAUCAGAAUCACCUGGAAAUCUUAUUAAGACACAGGUUGCUGGGUUCUACUCUGGACAUAAUGACAGAGGUCAUGCAGUAUGGAUGUGUUGCUCUGCUGCUGGAGACCCGAGCACUGAUUUGACCAGUACCAUCAGAUAUAUCCUGCACAGCACUCUUGGCAACAACAAUGGCGUAAUGCAGAUACCGUGGCUUUAGGAGGUGUGGUUGGUAAUGGAUGGACUUGGAUUUGGAACUGUCUCAAAGAUUUACUUUGGAUCCUCUGUGAUGUUUCAAGCCCUUCGUUUUGGCAAGCCUGUCAUUUGCCAGUUGUCAAAUAGGUUGAGUCAUUAGUCUGGGCUUGUCAUCUGGGAGCCUCCAAAUGAUUGAUAUGGUUCUGCUACGCUUCCCAACGGGAUAAUUAAGUGUCCACUCAGCUCUGUCUACCUGUUUUUAUGAAAAGUAAAAUGAAAUAAAAAAUUACGUUAUUCUUUUUUUUUUCUACCUGUGAAAGCAGCAAGCUGGGAAAAUGCAUUUGAACAAGCUGUUUAUUCUAAUAUUUAGUCCCUGAAGGACAAAUUUCUUAUUGGAAAAACCAAACCUUGCAAAUCUUUUUAGGCUAACAAAAUAAUCCUCUCCAUUUGUCUACCUUGCGUAGUGAUUUUGUGUACAUUUUCCUUUCUUCUUUGCAACAACCCUAUGUAGUAGAAAGAACAAACAUUAUUAUCUUCAUAUUGUCGAUAAAUAUCUUGAAACUCAGAAAUCAUUUUAACAUCAUAUUUGGUUCCUCUGACUAUUGUAUUAAUCUCCUGCCAUACUGUGCUAUCAAACAUCUUCUUGUAUAAAAGGGAUGUCUGAAUAUUGCAUAUCUGUGUUAUUCUCCCAUUCAGGAUCUUCUUUCUUUCUUUCUUUCUUUCUUUCUUUCUUUCUUUCUUUCUUUCUUUCUUUUCUUCCUUUCUCUUUAAAUUUUAUUUAUUUUUAGAGAGACAGAGACAGUGUGAGUGGGGGAAGGGCAGAGAGAGAGGGAAAGACAGAAUCCCAAGCAGGCCCCACACCUUUAGGACAGAGACUAAUGUGGGGCUUGAAACCAGGAACUGCAAGAUCAUGACCUGAGCUGAAAACAGGAGUCGGACGCUUAACUGACUGAGCCACCCAGUGCCCCUCAUUCCACCAGGAUCUCUUUCUAAAGUGUAUAGGUCUUGACAAAUUUGUUUGCCAAGAUACUGGGAUUGCUUAGGUGAACAUGUGGGGGAGGAAAGCAAGCAAGAUAGGGUCAUCCCAUCCCAGAGUAGAGGAUUUGUCCCCAAGGUACUACAACCAACAGUCCAAAUGGCAGUGUGUGAUGGAAAGUGAUAGCUCAAUCCCAGAACUAAAGAGAAAUCUGUGAGACAUUCCCUCCUUGCCUACACAGAUGAUUCCUUUCAAAGACCAGGUGCUUAUUAUCUCCAGUAUAAUGUGGCUUUUGGAUACUCUCCAGUCAGCAAAGUAGACACUCCUAUUUGGCAAGGUGAACCCAGCCAUGGUUUCCUAGUUUGCUGAAUCAAUAGGAAAUGACUUUGGAAAAAUACAGCAAUGGCAGCAACAAAUGGUUUUGAAGGUUUUCAGCCAAACACUGUAUAAAGUGAACUGCCAAGAGUUUCCCUUGUGAUAUCCCUUUUCGGAUGAUAACAUAUGACUUCGAACUUUUGCUCCUUACAUACUAUGUGACUUCACUCUUCAGACAUGAUUAAACCCAAAUUCUUUCUACAGCUGAACAUUUGUUCCUCUAAGGACCUUAAGUUUUCUUCAUUCUUGCCUAGUGAGGUCCCAUCUCCUGAUGAUAUGGUCAGCUUCUUGGCACCCAUUCUCAUUACUAUAUAUUUUAUAUACUUCUGUUUUCUUUCUGUUUUGAAUGUCAAGUAAAAAAAAAAAAGGCCCUGUGAUUCCUCACU